rnacentral:rRNA from 1 species
CAGCCGUAAACUAUGCUCGCUAGGUGUCAGGCAUGGCGCGACCGUGUCUGGUGCCGCAGGGAAGCCGUGAAGCGAGCCACCUGGGAAGUACGGCCGCAAGGCUGAACUUAAGGAUUGGCGGGGGAGCACAACAACGGGUGGAGCCUGCGGUUUAAUGGACUCAACGCCGGACAACUCACCGGGGACGACAGCCAAUAUGUAGGCCAGGCUGAAGACCUUGCCUGAAUCGCUGAGAGGAGGUGCAUGGCGUAGACGUCU